rnacentral:rRNA from 1 species
CAGUAGCCGCGGUAAUACGAAGGGUGCAAGCGUUAAUCGGAAUUACUGGGCGUAAAGCGCGCGUAGGUGGUUCAUUAAGUUGGAUGUGAAAUCCCCGGGCUCAACCUGGGAACUGCAUCCAAAACUGGCGAGCUAGAGUAUGGUAGAGGGUGGUGGAAUUUCCUGUGUAGCGGUGAAAUGCGUAGAUAUAGGAAGGAACAUCAGUGGCGAAGGCGACCACCUGGACUGAUACUGACACUGAGGCACGAAAGCGUGGGGAGCAAACAGGAUUAGAUACCCGCGUAGUCCCUGUCUCUUAUAC